rnacentral:rRNA from 1 species
UACGUAGGUGGCAAGCGUUGUCCGGAAUUACUGGGUGUAAAGGGCGUGUAGGCGGGGAUAUAAGUCAGAUGUGAAAUUCCGGGGCUCAACUCCGGGGCUGCAUCUGAAACUAUAUUUCUUGAGUGCUGGAGAGGGAAGCGGAAUUCCUAGUGUAGCGGUGAAAUGCGUAGAUAUUAGGAGGAACACCAGUGGCGAAGGCGGCUUUCUGGACAGUAACUGACGCUGAGGCGCGAAAGCGUGGGGAG